CCUACGGGGGGCUGCAGUUGGGAAUCUUGCGCAAUGGGGGAAACCCUGACGCAGCGACGCCGCGUGCGGGAUGACGGUCUUCGGAUUGUAAACCGCUUUUCCCAGGGACGAUAAUGACGGUACCUGGGGAAUCAGCCCCGGCUAACUCCGUGCCAGCAGCCGCGGUAAGACGGAGGGGGCAAGCGUUGUCCGGAAUUACUGGGCGUAAAGCGCUCGUAGGCGGUCGCAUACGGCGGUGGUGAAAGCUCCCGGUUAAACGGGGAGAGGCCCGCCGCAACGGUGUGACUCGAGGGUGGUAGAGGCAGAUGGAAUUCCGGGUGUAGCGGUGAAAUGCGUAGAGAUCAGGAGGAACACCCGUGGCGAAGGCGGUCUGCUGGGCCACACCUGACGCUGAGGAGCGAAAGCUAGGGGAGCGAACGGGAUUAGAUACCCGGGUAGUC
rnacentral:rRNA from 1 species